ensembl:snRNA U6 U6 spliceosomal RNA
GCUUGCUGUGACAGUGCAUAUACUAAAAUUGGAAUGAUAUAGAGAUUAGCAUAACUCCUGCAUAAGGAUGAUAAUGCAAAUUUAUGAAGCUUCUUAAGUGUAA